rnacentral:misc_RNA from 1 species
GGGCUGUGAUGAUUGCUUGCUUCCUUUUUGAGCUUUUUUUUCAAUCACGACAUUGAGAAAUCCGACCCGUGUCUUGGUGGGGCAACCUGGUUAAGGCUUUGAAUAGCAAAUUAGUGUCUGCAGCCAUGGCGUUGUCGCUCUUCUCUAUUGCUUGAUUCAAAUAUAGCAAAUCUGAGCCCUCAAUAAUUUGUUUCAUGGUUUUGGAUGGCGAGUCUUCUCU